rnacentral:rRNA from 1 species
GACGAACGCUGGCGGCGUGCUUAACACAUGCAAGUCGAACGGUGAACGAGGGAGCUUGCUCCCUCCGGAUCAGUGGCGAACGGGUGAGUAACACGUGAGCAAUCUGCCCCGAACUCUGGGAUAAGCGUUGGAAACGACGUCUAAUACCGGAUACGACGCGGGAGGGCAUCCUCCCCGCGUGGAGAGAACUUCGGUUCGGGAUGAGCUCCGGGCCUAUCAGCUUGCCGGUGCGGUACCGGCUCACCAAGGCGACGACGGGUAGCCGGCCUGAGAGGGUGACCGGCCACCCUGGGACUGCGACACGGCCCAGACUCCUACGGGAGGCAGCAGUGGGGAAUAUUGCACAGUGGGCGCGAGCCUGAUGCAGCAACGCCGCGUGAGGGACGACGGCCUUCGGGUUGUAAACCUCUUUUAGCAGGGAAGAAGCGAAAGUGACGGUACCUGCAGAAAAAGCACCGGCUAACUACGUG